GUUCACUUCUCUUUUCCAGAAACCUGGCUACACUUCCAAACAUCUCGACAGCAAGCAAGUCUAAAAGGGAUUCUCACACCAGGAGAAAAACGGAGACGCUCAAGAGACCAGCCAAGCAGAGGUGAGAGAUGGCACAGGUUAGUUGGCGGGUUCGGAACAUGCAGAGGAAGUCACAGGAAUGGUAGCAAUGAUAGUCAUUUCAUUCGCUUUUAUAAACAUGUAUAUCAAAAGUGCUCAUCACAAUUCUAGCAACAAAAUCCAUUCAGAUUUGUCUUCAGUGCCAGCUGAGAUUCCUUACAGACAUGGACCUGCAGCUACAGGCUCUUCACUACUCCAACUGAGAACUUUUGCCAACCGUCCGAGCCAGCUGGUGAAAUAAUACUGAAACUAAAACCUCCCUGCCCCUGCUAAGACAUGGCUUUCUGAACUGAAAUUCUCAAUAUUUUCAGGACAAAAUAAUUUCCUAAGAUGUUUAAGUAACUAUUCUUUAAAACAACAAAUAAUAAUUAAUUUACAAUUCUAUUACUACUAGUGUCUAUACACUGUAACUACUAUAUAUGUAUAAAAAUUCUUCUGAUUUAGUACAAACAAAACCAAAACAGCAGGGGGUCGGGGUGAUAUUCCAUCAGCAUGAUCAUGUUUCUGGAGCAGAAAGCAUAUGUACUUCCUAGUGUCAGUUAUUAGAAAGGCAUUACUGAGUCUUUCUAUGGUGCAAAGUAAACAGUAGUGAUAUGUCACAUUUCUAAUAAAGAAUGUUAGUGGCACACUUCUGAGGAAAUCUUAGAUCACUAUUGUGCAAAGCCUUGACAUUAUUUUGUAGCAUAAUAUUUUCAUAUAACUUAGAAAUUUAAAGAGACAAAUUUGAGAAUUUCCUAGAACCACUGAAACAUCCUGCUUUCAAAUUCAUAAAACAAACAGCACGGAAGCCUUUCCUGAACCAUCUCAAGCAUGCCAAUACAGAAUUUACUUAUCAAAACGGGUUAGACUUAAAAUAAUGUUCCAGUUAACAUAGAUUUUUAAUCAACUAACCGGAAAUAUAGUUCAGUAUUAGAAUGUAUGCUGAUACUUAACAUGCUUACGACUCUGGGUUAAGUCCCCAGCAUAAAAACAAAGGUAUUGAAAAUUGAUAACGCUGGCACUCAAUACACAGUAUAAAAAGAGCCUUAUUCAAAAUUUUCAUGGGCACCUUUGAUGCCCAUGAAGAGGCAUCAUCCUGAGUGGCAGGGGUGUUGACUAGACGGGCGGGGAAGGCAGCACUGGGCUGCUUAGGAAUAAGACCCAAGUCAGGAAGAACUGAGAGAGCUUUAUGCUUUUGGUUUACAACAAUACAGCAUGGAGCGGGAAACUAUGUGUCUCAGAUAAUACCAAGCUUAUUAAAUUUCAGGUAGUCACAGUAAUUUCUACUCAGGUCCCAUCUUCCUUCCCUAAGAAAGCGUUUCCUCUGUUUAAAAGGGUUUCAAAUUGUCUUAAAGACAAUUGUCUUACAACUUGAAAUCUGCUGUGGAUGUAUGCUUACUCCAUCUGUUUCCAAGCAGGGUUACUUUUCACACUCACUCUAGGACCUCAGGUACAAAAGGAGAACUGCUGACCCUUCUUUAGGGCUCGAGAAUAAGGGUGAUGGGCAAAACAAUCCAACUGGAAAGGAAGCAGCCUUUAAGGAGUAGACCUGAGGUUCUGGAGAAAUCUGUAUACAUGUGUGGUUUGAUACCCACCAUAGCCACCUGUUUAAUGGUUUCAGUCUCUAUUUCACUGACACAAGAAAUACACAGGAGUCAGUCGGAGGGACUAGUGCAUCCCGGUAUUUACUCGGUUGUACAUAAAGGAAAGUAAGAUAUAGAGAAAUAGAAUAAAUCUGGAUUAGAGGUUAAGUAGCCACAUAUUACAAUUUUUCUCUCUCAUUCAUUCCAGCUUAUCUGCUAAUUCUUACUUGCCAAAAUGUUAAGCACUUUCUUCAAAUUAAAAAGAAAAAAAGGUAAAAAUCAGUAAAUACUGUUACUGCUAAAAUUCUACCCACCUUCCUUUCUACACACCCAAUCCACUACAUAAGCCAAUGUCUUAUACCGUGGUAACCCUGUUUUCUAAAGCAUUCAGUCUCUUUAACCCUAGAGUUGUUAAUAUUGGCAAUUUCACUAUGGUGACAAAUAGAACUACUCUUUGUUCUCUUUAACAAACACUAAAUAUUCCUUACCCCGUUAUGAAAUACAGUAGACAAAAAACAAUCACUGACCCAUUAUAAAAUUUAGCUCAUCUCUUGUGAUAUCUUUAAAUAACAAAAAUUUCCACUUUUUACCCUUCAAUGAAAGUUCUUCCUAGUAUACUUUAAAAUUAAGUUUGAACAAUUUUCUUCAACAAUGCAAUAAGAAAUCAAUUAUAAACAUGCUCCUGCCAGAGGUCUUCCAUCUAAUACCAAAAUGGAUGUAGCAAGUGUAGUACUAAGAGGGAAGUUGCUGGCUAUAAAUACCUACAUUAAGAGUGUGUGUGUGUGUUCAAGGUCAUCUCUAACUAUGCAGAAAAAAAAAAUCAAGGCUAGCCUGGUUAAUAGAGAACUAAGACAAGGAGAAGAGGAAGGGGGAGGAGGAGGGAAGAGAGGGAGUGGAAGGGAAGGAAACCAAAGAAUAGAAGAGGAAGGCAGGAAGGAAAGAGAGACCAAAGUUAGGCACAAGGAUUAGAACAGAAGCAAAAGAAGUAACAAUGAGUGGGAUAGACUAAGAGCUGGCUUCUUGAAAAGAUAAAAUUGAGACCCCUUUACUAGACUAACAGAAAAAAAACUAAAAGUCAAAAAG
rnacentral:lncRNA from 1 species